AUUCACAAGCGUCUCCUACAACACGAUUGAAAAUUAACUCAGAUUUAUUUUACAUUGUUGAGCAGCAGCGUGCUGUGUGCUGGAGCAGUGAAAGUGGAAUUGCUUUAUCCCGUUGUUUUUAUGAUUUUGUUUGGACUUAUUUUCACUUCAUGGCAGUUUCAUUUAUUAAUAUGAUUGUAUUUUGUAUGAAUUUCCCAAAUUUCCCCUCACGGAAUGAAUAAAGUAUAUUUGUAUUUUUAUCAUUGUGGAACACGAAUACCGUUUACUGGUACAAUAAAAUGUUCUUCUGCGCGUACAUACACGUAUUUAUACAUUCCAUUGUGUUAAAUUUAAAUCAAAACGCUUGUUUGAAAUCGGGUUGUUUGAAGUGUGUCCAUGUUUGAUGACGUCAUGAAUUUUAAUCGCGCGAGAACUUGACACUACCGCGGACCCCGUUGACGCUGCUAGCAUGUUAGCCUCCACAGAAAAAUUAAGCUGGUGCACAAACAUAGAACGUAAUCAAGCGUCUUGCAAUAUCAUUCGGCAAGCUCCCGGCGGGUGUCCGGGAUCUGUGGUGGAGUAGCUUUAGCGUGCAUCGCCAUGAUGGAUCGAGCAGUGUGGAUCAUGGAGAAACAAAAAGGUGGCGGGAUAGCUUGCAGCGACUCCUAAAUGGGUCGCUGCAGCCAAUAGGUGGAGCUAAAGGACCGCAGAAACAAGUCGCGAAUGACUCAUUCGCCACCAAAUCACCACAGCAACAAGCUGGAGCGGAGCGCAGUGGUUACAGCCCACGGCCAUGCGUCAUACUUUCAACAAUUUUUGUGGAAAUUCUUGAUGAUACAGUGGCGACAUUCAGCAGUACCAUUGCCAGGCCUUGGCCACUGUAACCUCAGGGUUACGAGGCCCCAUUGGCAUGUCACACAAUGCUGCUGCAUUUGCAUCUCAAACCAGGAGGAUGCUGCAAGACUCACAAGCUAUUUCUGUUAAACAUACACAGGUAAUGCAAUUUUAACGACAGUGCCUAUAAUGGUAUAAGAUGGGAUGGUAUUGCGCAACAGUUCCUCCCUGGAGCCUUAAGAUAUACAAACUGCUGACUUAAGUUACACGGAAAAUAGGGUGCACAUUAAUUUUGAAUGACAGCCUUUUCAUCCAUAAUAACACACAGCAUAAAAUUUUAGCAUUGUAUUUAGUUCGACCAUCUCACUCACCUUUUUAAGGGCAAGGGUGUAUUCCUGUGUCAUUUGUUUGUAUGCAAGGCUAUGAUGCUUUUGAGAUAAAUAAAUACAUAUCAGCUAAAAUCGCCAUCAUUUUGUUUCAGUUGAGCAGCUGAAAGACCAUCAUGUAAGAGAUCAGCAAACUAGAAUGUUAAAGAAGAUACAAAAGGGAAGCAUGCGUUUCUAGCAAAUCACCAAUAAUAAUAACAGGUAGUAAAAAAACACUUAGACUGAACAUUUGACUGUGCUCACAUUGUUUGCAUUCUGCAAUCAUUUGUUUUGGAAAGAAGGAAACAUAAUGUAAUUACCUGUUUAAAUACACUUGUUAAACGGAUGGAGCCUGAGGUCAAUUGUCGAUAAUAUUAGGAGCAUUUUGCCUCUUAAAUUGCACAAAACUCACACAACUGGCUCAGCAAGUAUCAUUGAAUGAAUUCAAAAUAAGAGCUUGUUUUUAAUCUUUCCCCAAAUAAACCCUCAACCAGGGAGUGAUAAGAAGACAUUCGAAGCCAUCUAUUUUUGAUCGUCUCCCUAAUAUUCUGAUGCUCUCCUGUGCACCUUCUGAUAUGUGGGCGGGAGUUGCUGCAAUCCCAGCUGCUGCGUGUCCGGUCAGCGGUCCGCCACUGGAACAGCUGAGAGCUUGUGAUGUCACCAGAUUGCCAACUGCUCAAGGGCAGGCGGGCACAGAGUGCGACUCUCUAUGUGUGCAAUGUGACAGCGUGGACAUGAGGCCGGGAUGGCGCUACGCCCCCAGGGAGAAAGGGACGCAUCAGUUGCUCCCUUUAUUAGUCGACGGGUCGAAAUAAGGCGAUGGUAGGAGGCUGUUUAUGUGACAGGCCUUCGGUUCUCAAAACUUUUUUACACCCCAAAAAAUACCUCUCGAAGUUUCACUAACCUGACCAACAGUAAAAUUAAGUGGUGUAGCAGGCCUAAGUUUUCAUCAAAAAAAUGAGGCUGAAGUAACCUGCCACUAAUUCAACACUACUAUAAUUAACACCAAAGUUACGACAAAGUUACAUUUGCCCGAAUUUGUUUAGACACGGAAUGGCUCCCAUUGGGUGUAGCUUAAAGUCGACUGGUAAUGCAUAAAUGGCAGCAAUCCGUUAUCGAUACCUCCCGCAAUUUUCUCUCGGCAAAGAUGCCAUGUCGUUGAAACCACGCUGUCAUCUGCUCGUGAGAUUUUUCGCCCUCAUCAGAACAACUGCUUGACUCCCACACAUUGCAGCAGCUGUAGUUAUAUUCAGAUUGUGACCUCAACCGUGCGUUCUCCAAAUAUGUGUAACCUCCGUUCGUGUGAGCUUUGGGGGAUUUUUUUACAGUGAGUGGUGGUUUUUGGCCAGUGUGCAAAACGCACCCUUCCUGUAGUCAAAGGAGGAUGUCGAUGAGCAGAACUGCAGGCAAAGUUGAGUUCAACUCUUUUUUUUUUUUUUUUUUGUGUGUGUGUUGCUUUUGUGUGGACGAGGUGCAAUUAUACAUGGCUCCAUGGAAUGAUGGGAGUCUCUCUGAUCCGCCCUGCGUUUCAGUCUGCUGAAGACAAGUGUGGACAUGUAACCCCCCCCCUUGAAAGAGAAGUCUACAGUCGAAACACUGUUUUUGUACACACUGUGGUAUACAUUUCAGGAAGAGAUUAGACACGAUCCAUCUAAUCUUGUUGCAAGACUUACUCAAGGGGUCUCGUCUGUCUGUCGUAAAGGGUACUUAGGAAUUUAAAAAACAAACGGCCACACUUCAUCUUACUAAAUGGACUCUCACACUAUUCGAUAAUUGUAUAGCACCAUAUUGUGUUAAAUGUUUCCCACUCAGCGUCCAUUAGCCUGUUCAUCCUGGAUGGGGAUUCCCCCCAUCUGCGACCCCUUCUCAAGGUUUCUUAUUUUUCCCCAGAUGGGGGGUUUUAUGAGUUUUUCCUUGCCCUCCUGUGGGGUGAAGAUCAGGGUGUGUCGUUAAUAUUCGUCAGCUGCGGACUUGUGAAGCCCUUCGAGACUCUUUUGUGAUGAAGGGCGCGGCAUGGCACUUGGCAAGACAGCCUGCAUUGAGCCAUCCCCCGCAUCGCACGACAAGCUCAGCGCAGAGGGCAGGGCGACCGGCUCUGAAUAU